GAAAUGCGAUAAGUAGUGUGAAUUGCAGAAUUCAGUGAAUCAUCGAAUCUUUGAACGCAUAUUGCGCCCGCCAGUAUUCUGGCGGGCAUGCCUGUUCGAGCGUCAUUACAACCCUCAGGCCCCCGGGCCUGGCGUUGGGGAUCGGCGGAAGCCCCCUGCGGGCACAACGCCGUCCCCCAAAUACAGUGGCGGUCCCGCCGCAGCUUCCAUUGCGUAGUAGCUAACACCUCGCAACUGGAGAGCGGCGCGGCCACGCCGUAAAACACCCAACUUCUGAAUGUUGACCUCGAAUCAGGUAGGAAUACCCGCUGAACUUAAGC
rnacentral:misc_RNA from 1 species